rnacentral:lncRNA from 1 species
GUUUAUAUUCCGCUGCGAUUGUUGAAGUUUAUAUACAUGUUUAUUGGUUUUGAAUUUUUGUAUGAUGGCGUAGCCUCUAUUUCUUGAAUAAAUGUAUUAUUCGCAUGUUUAAUUGCUUUAAUAGAAAUAGGAGUGUUACAAUAUCCAAUGGGGAUGAGAAAUUGAAUCUCAUCCCCGUCUCCAAUGGGUUCGGGUAAUCCCGCCUCAUCCCCUUCCCCGCAGUGAAUCAAUUUUUUUUUAAUAGAAUAUAAUAUAGCUAUAAAUAGUACAAAAUUCAUGGUGACAUCAUUAGAGACAUCCAUUGCAUGAAUAGAGGCGACUAAUUCAUUUUUGGGAAGUUGUGUUGAACUGGAUGGAAUAUUAGUAGACUAAUUACUUAGACACCCACUCUUACUCUUUCCGGUUGGACAUGAUAACUUGGAUUGUGAAACUGGUGCAUCUGAAUGCAAAAAUUUUAAAUUAUCAAAGAAAGACGGUGAUCACUUGAUUGACCGUUCAAAAUGAUCAUCUUGAGUAGAUUAUCCCUCUUUAGUGAACCUUUGUAUAUAUUUUUUUUGGAGUUGGACACAUUGAGUUUUUUUUUGGGAAAGCAAAUUGACGAAAUUGCAUUUGCAUAUGUACCUUCAUAUUGUAAUCAUAAACGUUAAAUUGGACAUGCAGAGUAUAAUCAUGUGUUAAAAUUCAUAAAAAAAAAAACCAGAAUUUGGUUAUUUCAAAUUUGAGUAAACCACCAAAUUGGUUCAUGUCUUUGUACCAAAUUUUCAAAUUGACCUCUAACUCUAUUAAUAACUCAAAAUGGUCACUUUCUUUGUCAAACGUUUCUCAGAUUGGUCCCUGCCUCUAUUAGUUGUUUUGCAUUUUAAGCCAUUAACGUACCAAAUAAGAUCCAAAAGGCAUUAUUCCAUAAACCAGUAAAUAAUAUCCAAAACACGUUGAAUCGAUAACACUCAAAAUACAAAACAAUUAAUAAAGGCAGAGACCAAUCUAAGAAACAUUUGACAAAGACAGAGACCAUUUUGAAUUAUUAAUAGAGUCAGGGACCAAAUUGAAAAUUUGGUACAAAGACAGUGACCAAUUUGAUGGUUUACUCAUUUCAAAUUCUAUAAUCUGAAAAACCGCAUAACAAAAACAUAUGAGAAACGAAGUCUUCACUUAUUGGACUUCAUUUGGACAUCUUUAAUUUUAGAUAUGAUUUAAAUACCACAUCAAAUCUAAGUUGAUUUGACAAUAAAUCUCAGCACUGCGAUAAACUAAAGAAAGAAAACAAAACUACAUAUGAAAAAUUUCUAAUUAGUAACGACAACAUACAUCUUAAUAAAUUCAAAAAAUAAAAAUAAAUAAACUAUAUCAAAUAAAUCUCAAAAUUGACCAAUGAGUAAAGACAAUUAAAAUAAGUAAAGACAAAAACAAUAAAAAAAAAUACACAUAUGAGGGAUAAUUAUCAAGAUUUUCAAUUAAUACAUAAAGAUAUUAUCAUCUUAUAUUAUUCCUAAAACAAAUUUUAUUACCAUUAUACACUUAUAUUUACUAUUUUGUGAUUUUCGUUGUAUUUCUUUACCAUAUUACAGAUGCAGAGUAUCCAUUGGUAAUGAAUAACUAAUCUCAACACGAAAAUCUUAUUGGUCAUCUUUAAUAGAGUCUCCCUUUCUCAUAUGUAACCCUGAAAUUUGAACAUGCUACUUUAUUUCAGACAUGUGAGUCUAGUUACAGCCAUACC